UUUAGGAGCUUGCUCCUGGUUGAUCUAGUGGCGGACGGGUGAGUAACACGUGAGCAACCUACCCUAAAGUGGGGGAUAACGUUUGGAAACAGACGCUAAUACCGCAUAACAUCCCGAGGUGGCAUCACUUUGGGAUCAAAGAAGCAAUUUGCUUUAGGAUGGGCUCGCGCCCGAUUAGAUAGUUGGUGAGGUAAUGGCUCACCAAGUCUGCGAUCGGUAGCCGGACUGAGAGGUUGAACGGCCACAUUGGGACUGAGACACGGCCCAGACUCCUACGGGAGGCAGCAGUGGGGAAUAUUGCACAAUGGGGGAAACCCUGAUGCAGCGACGCCGCGUGAGUGAAGACGGCCUUCGGGUUGUAAAGCUCUGUCUUCGGGGACGAUAAUGACGGUACCCGAGGAGGAAGCCACGGCUAACUACGUGCCAGCAGCCGCGGUAAUACGUAGGUGGCAAGCGUUGUCCGGAAUUACUGGGUGUAAAGGGAGCGUAGGCGGGAGUUUAAGUUGGAUGUGAAAUGCUGCGGCUCAACCGCAGAGCUGCAUCCAAAACUGGACUUCUUGAGUGAAGUAGAGGCAAGCGGAAUUCCUAGUGUAGCGGUGAAAUGCGUAGAUAUUAGGAGGAACACCAGUGGCG
rnacentral:rRNA from 1 species